GACGAACGCUGGCGGCGCGCCUAACACAUGCAAGUCGAACGAGAGAUGAGGAGCUUGCUCUUCAAAUCGAGUGGCGAACGGGUGAGUAACGCGUGAGGAACCUGCCUCAAAGAGGGGGACAACAGUUGGAAACGACUGCUAAUACCGCAUAAGCCCACGGCUCGGCAUCGAGCAGAGGGAAAAGGAGCAAUCCGCUUUGAGAUGGCCUCGCGUCCGAUUAGCUAGUUGGUGAGGUAAUGGCCCACCAAGGCGACGAUCGGUAGCCGGACUGAGAGGUUGAACGGCCACAUUGGGACUGAGACACGGCCCAGACUCCUACGGGAGGCAGCAGUGGGGAAUAUUGCACAAUGGGGGAAACCCUGAUGCAGCGACGCCGCGUGGAGGAAGAAGGUCUUCGGAUUGUAAACUCCUGUUGUUGAGGAAGAUAAUGACGGUACUCAACAAGGAAGUGACGGCUAACUACGUGCCAGCAGCCGCGGUAAAACGUAGGUCACAAGCGUUGUCCGGAAUUACUGGGUGUAAAGGGAGCGCAGGCGGGAGAACAAGUUGGAAGUGAAAUCCAUGGGCUCAACCCAUGAACUGCUUUCAAAACUGUUUUUCUUGAGUAGUGCAGAGGUAGGCGGAAUUCCCGGUGUAGCGGUGGAAUGCGUAGAUAUCGGGAGGAACACCAGUGGCGAAGGCGGCCUACUGGGCACCAACUGACGCUGAGGCUCGAAAGUGUGGGUAGCAAACAGGAUUAGAUACCCUGGUAGUCCACACCGUAAACGAUGAUUACUAGGUGUUGGAGGAUUGACCCCUUCAGUGCCGCAGUUAACACAAUAAGUAAUCCACCUGGGGAGUACGACCGCAAGGUUGAAACUCAAAGGAAUUGACGGGGGCCCGCACAAGCAGUGGAGUAUGUGGUUUAAUUCGACGCAACGCGAAGAACCUUACCAAGUCUUGACAUCCCUUGACGAACAUAGAAAUAUGUUUUCUCUUCGGAGCAAGGAGACAGGUGGUGCAUGGUUGUCGUCAGCUCGUGUCGUGAGAUGUUGGGUUAAGUCCCGCAACGAGCGCAACCCUUAUGGUCAGUUACUACGUAAGAGGACUCUGGCCAGACUGCCGUUGACAAAACGGAGGAAGGUGGGGAUGACGUCAAAUCAUCAUGCCCUUUAUGACUUGGGCUACACACGUACUACAAUGGCGUUAAACAAAGAGAAGCAAGACCGCGAGGUGGAGCAAAACUCAGAAACAACGUCCCAGUUCGGACUGCAGGCUGCAACUCGCCUGCACGAAGUCGGAAUUGCUAGUAAUCGUGGAUCAGCAUGCCACGGUGAAAUACGUUCCCGGGCCUU
rnacentral:rRNA from 1 species